AGGAGGUAGUAUAAAGGUAGUACGGGGGAUUUUGAGUUCUCGAGUAUGGGUUCGUGUCCCAUUUUUCUA
rnacentral:tRNA from 1 species